CCCAAAGUGCUGGGAUUACAGGCAUGAGCCACCACACUCGAACACUUGGGGUGGUUUUAAGCCCCCAGCAAGGUGCACCAGCAGGACCAGGAGGUGGCCUGGGCACCCCCUAUCACUCCCAUCCAUGCAAACCUAGAGGACCGAAGCAGAGGGUGCUGUUUCAACGCCACCACCAGGAGAGAGGCAGAGGGGCUGUGCCGUGCUAGAGUCCUCAGGGAGGGAGUGACCUCGACCCUGGCUGUGCUGCAAGCUGACUCCAGCCUUGGGGUCAGCAGCACCCGGCAAACAGCAGCAGGAGGAGCCGCUAGAGCAGCUGCUCAUGGGCAGAGCUGCCCUCGGGCAACUCCUGCCACCACCCCCUCCCCAGGGAGCCCAAGGCAGGGGAGGCUCAGCAUGGAAUGAAACAGGGGAGUGAGGGACACAAGGAGGUGGGAAGUGGGAGGGUCCCAGCCCCACCAAGUACGCAGAGAACCCCUCGUUGUCCUGGACACCACAGGGGCACCUGCAGGCUGGGAGACCAGGUCCUCUGUGCAUGGGCCCGGGAGGCAGACCUGCCCUAAGGGUGAUGCACAGGCUACAGGUGCUGCACGCUCCAGCGCCCACUCUAGACAUCAGCCUCCAGGUUGACUAAGGGUCAGGUCAUGUUUGAAACCAUGCUUGGCUGGACCAGGACCCAUGGCAAGAGCACCUGGGCACCAGUGUUUAGCCCUGGUCUGCAGGAAGGAGGACAGCAGACUUUAGGACCCCACAGCACGGCAGUGCUGACCAUUUCACCCACUUGGCCUCCUUGAGAAAUAUGGAUGGGGACCCCUCUGGGGAUGGGCAAGGCCUUCCAGGAUAGGCUCAGUUUUGGUCCCCUGCUUUUUGAGGUUGGGUUAAAAUUCCGACCAUGGCAGAGGAAGCACAGCUCAGGUUCCCACACCUCACUUUUCACAGCCUCUGAGGGCAGCAGUGCACGUGGAGGAGACGUCUCCCAUGAGGCCAAGGCCUCCAGUGCUCACCGAUGCCCUCUGCGAAGUUGGGGUAGAACUCGUCAGUGAAGAGGGGCUCGGGCAGCUCACGGAAAUACAGCUUCAGCGUGCCUGCGAUGGCGUUCACGUCCAUCUCGCUCAUCAUCACCGACACGUCCUUGUUAUCUGGAAAGAGCACGGAAAUGCAGCGGCCUCCUUGAAGAUCCUGAUAAAUGAAGAAAAGACACAGAGAAGGAUGUGACAUGCCUGGGCCGUGGAGCACUCUGAGAUCUCAUCGCGGACACCACUGCCCACACCUCCAUCCCGUCCUGCGCAGGCCGACACUCACUGACGUUGAAGGCUGCCUUCAGUGCCUGGAUGUCUGCGGCCACCCCAGACAUGCGGUAGAUGCCCACCUCCUCCAUGCCUCGGCGCUCGAUCUCCUCCACGCACUGGCGCACGAUGUAGGGCACCUUGGACCUCUCUCUCCUGCGGGAGGAGGGAAUGUUCUCAGUGUCCUAACAGCCCUGCUUGGGCCAUAACACAGGAGACCUGCUCCCUAUGUGCACACCCGGAGGUGGGGUGAGGACGGUGAUGAAGGUACCCAGGUCUGGGGCUGCACACAGAGCCUUCUGCAUGCCUGUCCUCCCUCUGCAAGCUCUGUCCUCAUUGCAUGUGCUUUCUCAGGAACCUUUCAAGCGGCCAGAACCCCUGCAAAUCACACAUGACCUUUGUGGGAAGGUCAGGAGGCCUGUCUAAGUCAAGUCAGCACGGGAAGGGCAUCUGACAGAUUCCAGGCCUGGGGUGAGCAGCCUGUGCCCCCGGCUGGGAGGUCAGACCCGGUGUUGGUCCUGCCACCCACGUGCUGUGUGAGAGGAGAAUCCGUGACCCCUGCCCUGGGCCUUAACACACAUCCGACGAAUGAAUGAAGGGUUGCCUCAGCACCGGUGCUCCAAGUCCUGCGAUGCUAAGUGCUUUUCUCCUCUGAGUCUUAGCAAUGGACAAUUCCAAUACCUCCACACAGGACACUAGAGUAAGAAUCCUUCACAGUUAGAACGCAGUGCUGUGCGGAGGCCUUAACUUGAGUUCUGUUUUGCACCUGGAUUUACCAGCACAUCAAAGCUGCUUCGCAAGCCCCCUCAUCAGCAGGGCUCAUGUGGGGGAGCUGCUGAUGGAGUCCUCGCUGCUCAUGCCCACAGCCCUCCCAGAGUGCUAUGCGAGUGGCUGCCGUGCAGUUGGGGGUGGGGCGUGGUGUUUAGACACAGAUAGGAGUCCAGGGUAUGACUGAUGGAGGCCCCGGCCCACGUGACCAGCAAGGUCAGAGGCCCAGCCAGAUUCCAUCCUGAGGAAGCAAAUGAAUUCUCAGAGGAAGUGGUCUGUGUCUGCAUGAACUGCUCUCAAACCAACAAAUAGGCUUCUCUUGGCAACUGACUCGUGACAAAGGGUUCAAGAUUGUUUGAAAAAAAAAAAGGGGGGGGGGGGACAGGGAGGCAGUAGGUCCUGGAAAAGUAAAUUCUUUAUUUUACAAUAAGAAAGUGAUUACAUAUUUUAUUUUUUUUUACAAUGGUGGAAAAUUAGAAGUGAUUGUGAAAAUGAUGUCUACCCGCCUUGCUGAUGAGUAGGAUGUGAUUUGGCUCUUUAGGAAACUGAAUUUGCAGAACUUAAGAAUAUUGAUUUAUAAAGGGCAUGGCCAUUGACCCAGUCCAUCUUAUGCAAAUCUGGAUGCCAUAAAUAAUAUUUAAAAAUGAAAGUAUUGGGGUGGAGGUUGCAGUGAGCGGAGAUCGCCCCACUACACUCCAGCCUGGUCAACAGAGUGAGACUCUGUCUCAAAACAAAAAAAAAAAAAAAAAAAGAAGAAGUCAUUCCCAACAUUGCUCAUCAAAUUAUGACCAUAAAUUUCCAGGAUCAGACUAACGGCUAAAGAGACUGAUGCAUCAACACCAGGCAGAGAAUAAAGCAGAUUUUUUUUGUUUUGUUUUGGAGAGCCUCUAGGAACUUGAAAAAUACAUAUGCCACACUCUUAAGACCCGGUGGUUCUUAAUCAGGGAUGUUCAUUAAAAUGCUGGAAAACUCUAAAGAUUUCCAGGUCCCAUCCAAGGAGAUUUUGCUUCUGAUUGACUGGCUAGUGGCCUGGCCAUUGGUAUUUUGAAAAAUCCCUCCAAGUGAUUCUUUUACAUCCCAGCUAGAAAACCCUAAAUUAAAGGUGAAAAACCAGACACCAAGUGGCAUUUAAAUAAAUGUCAACUUUAACUCCACAAAGCAUCUGGUUGCAUGUGGACAGAAAGAGAAGGAAAGAGGGCCCUAUAUCUGGAUAACUUGGAAAUGUGCUCCCCCUAGCAAGAUAUCUACCAAAAUUAAAACCAUAUUUGAGGAUGCUGGCACUGUGAGCAAUAUAUAAAUGAUGCAUGUAACAUCAUUUAAUAUGAUCUUAUUUUUAAAAAUGAGUAGAGUGGUGUUUUCUAGCUGUUAGUGUUUCCAAAUAUCAAUGUAGAAAUUAGCCUUCUGCAGCUGCAGAGGCAAUUCAGUUUGCAGCUUGCUUGCAUGUGGCCUAGAGCCACCCAGCCUGAUAUGUACUAAUUUUUUAUGUUUAACUUGCCAGAGUAGAAACUCAGUUUCUGGGCGAGGCAUAGUGGCUCAUGCCUGUAAUCCCAGAACUUUGGGAGGCCAAGGCAAGCAGAUCACAAGGUCGGGAGUUCAAGACCAGCCUGGCUGACAUAGUGAAACCCUAUCUUUGCUAAAAAUACAAAAAUUAGCCCGGCAUGGUGGCAGGCACCUGUAGUCCCAGCUACUUGGGAGGCUGAGGCAGGAGAAUCACUUGAACCUGGGAGGCAGAGGUUGUGGUGAACUGAGAUCAUGCCCCUGCACUCCAGCCUGGGCAACAGAGUGAGACUCCAUCUCAAAAAAAAAAAAAAAGAAACUCAGUUUCUGGUUACAUCUGAUCUUUAUUUUUUAUAUAUCAUCUAAGCUAUAAAGUUAUAUUCCCUAUUUGUGAUCUUAAAAGAAGGACUCCAGGAAAGUGUUCAAAUAUUCAUAUAUCUAAACUGGAACAUAUGUUUAUAUUUUUAAAAGUAGCCUGAGAGGUUGGCAACUAAAGUCAUAUGUUGAAUGAUCAUUUCUCAAGAGUUUCAUUUUAUGGUCUUUCUCUUGUUCUGUAAAAUGUGGGCAUGGAUAGAUAUAAAGUGCCUGGUGUCCAUGCUUUUGUGAAAUCCCUUCCUCUUCCAUGUGAAUGGGACCUGUGACUUUCUUCUAACCCAGAGAACACAGCAAAAAUGAUGUGAUUUAUCUGAGUCCAUUGAUGACAUUGAUUACGACUUCCCUUCACCACAUUAUUUAGGACUGCGUCGUAGGAGACUGGGACACAUAUCCACUUUGCUGGCUUGAUGAAGUAAACUGCUAAGUUGAGGAAGCCCACAUGGCAAGGAACUGUGGGCAGCCUUCAGCCAACAGGCAGCAAAAAGCUGAGCUCCUCGGAGCUACAGCCUCAAGGAAGUUACUUCUGCUAACAACCUGAAAAAGCUUGGAAGCUAGUUUCUCUCUAGUGGAAUUUUUAGGGAAGAGCAUGGCCCAGGCAAGAUAAAUAAUGUAAGUGGAAAAACCUGUCAAC
rnacentral:lncRNA from 10 species